AAACGAAUUUUCUAUGUGAGAAUUCGAUCGAUAUUCUUGUAGGACUUCAAUAUUAAAGUGCGCGGUGGGAGGAGAUCGUGAAAGAGUGUGAACCGGCGGAGAAUGUGUGCGAGCCCGAUCCGCAAUGGUCUCGUUUCAUCGACGUCCAUGUUCACGUUUUUAUGGAUAUAAAUCCUGUACAAAGUCCGAGAUCAAGGAGUUAACGAGCUAAGACUCAAUUUCAAGAUGUGCGGUUUAACGAACGCACGCGUGGAUUCCGAUUGAGUUAUUCACGACGAUUACGAGCGCGAUGCAAUCUCGUAUUUCUUCUUCGACCUCGACUUACUGUGCUCAAACGAAAAUUCCUGCGCUUUGAACUUUUGUUUUCCCAUUCACUCGCACCUGUUUCAUUAGUUUUCUUAGCUCUACAGAUCUGCUUUUUUCUACCUCGAAAUCUGCAUAAACGGAGUUAAUUGUAUGAACAUUUUGUCCUGCGAAUUAAUACUUCACUGGUGAAGUGAAUUCCGCUUCCUGAAACUUCCGGAUCCGAGCAAUGAAAGUGCCACGAGUUUCGCAUAUAGGUCUACACAGCUUGGCAAACCGAGUCACAUCAGUUUCGCGCUAUUGCGAUCCGACCACGUUCACGGAAGGUUUACCCCGCCUGAAUUCUGAUUGGUCGAUAACGUCGUCGUGUAUGAGGGAUGCGCUGUGAAUCAUCUCGGAGAUCAUCGCCACUUGACGCUGCGAUGCCAAGAGAUCGCUGGGCAGAGAAAGCAAAUGGAAACUCGUUAUCACAGUGACUAAAUCGAAGCUUGAGCAGAUCAUGCACAUUUUUUGCAACGAUUGCGGCUCUGUCUCGACAACAUAUCUCGCUUUGACCACACUUCGUAUGUAAUCCACGAGGAUGAUUUACGAGAAAUUUUCGCAACACUGUUCGCACAUCUCGAGGCUCACCCGAGCACACGUUUAUUUACUUUCCUCGGCUCCUCCCGAGAAACGAGUCGCGAAGGACCAGAACGUCAAAUGUUUGUUGAAUCCAUUCUCAGGUUCCGAACAAUGCAAAGUUUUUCAAUUUUACCAGGUGCUCGUUACAACAAACAACGACGACUCGUCAAAAUCGCUUGCACCUUUUGUUGCUCUGAGAAUAUUCAACGCCGAAGGUUCAAUUUUUAACACGGAAUAUCGUCGAGUGAAGCAAAUUGGUAUAAAGUUUUUCACUUCGUUGGUUGAGUUGGAAAAUUAAAGUUUGCCCGUUCCGUUGUCAUUGCUUUUCUCGAUACCAUAAAAUACCGGAAAAUUAAUGGAUUUUGAAGAUCAUUACGAACAAAUAGAGCCAUAGCUCGACAUAUUUCUGCUCUUAAAUCAAUGCUUAAACAUACAGUUUCACAAUAUGAGACUUAUAAAAGUGGGGAGUUACAUGAAUAAAUUACGUUUUAUGUCAUUUUUUUCGUCGUAAAAAUAGUGCGAUUGGAAAAAAUCGUUUGACUCGAUUUUCAUUAAAAGUUUCAACAAUAAUUUUACACCCAAGUAUUUUUAUGCUUGGUUCAAUUCACACGGAAAAAAUAACUGCAGCGUACGUAAAAGAAGAGGUAAACAAGUCGAGACGGUAGGACUCACUUUCUUUCCUUGUGGUAAUUGAUGGCCCGAGCCAUCAAAAUCGCUACCAUUGGACGUAGCGCCUUUCCCUGA
rnacentral:lncRNA from 1 species